rnacentral:rRNA from 1 species
CCUAACACAUGCAAGUCGAGCGGAAACGACACUAACAAUCCUUCGGGUGCGUUAAUGGGCGUCGAGCGGCGGACGGGUGAGUAAUGCCUAGGAAAUUGCCUUGAUGUGGGGGAUAACCAUUGGAAACGAUGGCUAAUACCGCAUAAUGCCUACGGGCCAAAGAGGGGGACCUUCGGGCCUCUCGCGUCAAGAUAUGCCUAGGUGGGAUUAGCUAGUUGGUGAGGUAAUGGCUCACCAAGGCGACGAUCCCUAGCUGGUCUGAGAGGAUGAUCAGCCACACUGGAACUGAGACACGGUCCAGACUCCUACGGGAGGCAGCAGUGGGGAAUAUUGCACAAUGGGCGAAAGCCUGAUGCAGCCAUGCCGCGUGUAUGAAGAAGGCCUUCGGGUUGUAAAGUACUUUCAGUUGUGAGGAAGGGGGUAGCGUUAAUAGCGCUAUCUCUUGACGUUAGCAACAGAAGAAGCACCGGCUAACUCCGUGCCAGCAGCCGCGGUAAUACGGAGGGUGCGAGCGUUAAUCGGAAUUACUGGGCGUAAAGCGCAUGCAGGUGGUUCAUUAAGUCAGAUGUGAAAGCCCGGGGCUCAACCUCGGAACUGCAUUUGAAACUGGUGAACUACAGUACUGUAGAGGGGGGUAGAAUUUCAUGUGUACCGGUGAAAUGCCUAGAUAUGGAAAGGAAUACCAGUGGCGAAGGCGGCCCC